rfam:Vibrio vulnificus YJ016 DNA, chromosome I, complete sequence.
UCAUCACCAUCAUCACCCAGUCUAGUCUUUCGGGAGAUGUACGCAUACCCGGGAGAUAGGAAACUCCCGGAGGUGAAAAUCAUCAAAUUCAGAUUUUAAACCCUCGGGAGACCAACAUCUCUCGAGGGUUUUUUAGU